GACUUCGCCUUGGGUGCAAAGUGUUAAUGUGAAAGUGACUCUGCCUGGCGCACAUUUGUUGCUUCAAAUAAUGGGCCUUAAAUUAGCACACAAUGGCAGGCAGACGGGCGACACUCGCACCCAGCCAUGCGCAGGAAAGGAUGUAAUUGACCUGAGCCCUAGGACCAUGCCCCAGGACUACCUGACAUGAUGACUCCUUGCUGUCCCCAGUCCACCUGGCCGUGCUGCUGCUCCAGUUUCAACUGUUCUGCCUUAUUAUUAUACGACCAUGCUGGUCAUUUAUGAACAUUUGAACAUCUUGGCCAUGUUCUGUUAUAAUCUCCACCCGGCACAGCCAGAAGAGGACUGGCCACCCCACAUAGCCUGGUUCCUCUCUAGGUUUCUUCCUAGGUUUUGGCCUUUCUAGGGAGUUUUUCCUAGCCACCGUGCUUCUACACCUGCAUUGCUUGCUGUUUGGGGUUUUAGGCUGGGUUUCUGUACAGCACUUUGAGAUAUCAGCUGAUGUAUGAAGGGCUAUAUAAAUAAUUUUGAUUUGAUUUGAUUUGAAUGGUGUUUAACAUGAUUUUUGAAUGACUACCCCAUCUCUGUACCCCACACAUACAAUUAAGGUCCCUCAGGCGAGCAGUGAAUUUUGAACACAGAUUCAACCACAAAGACCAGGGAGGCUUUUCAUUGAUAGAUGGGUAAAAAAAUCAGACAUUGAAUAUCCCUUUGAGCAUGGCGAAGUUACUAAUUACCCUGGAUGGUGUGUCAAUACAUCCAGUUACUACAAAGAUACAAGCGUCCUUCCUAACUCAUUUGCUGGAGAGGAAGGAAACCGCUCAGGGAUUUCACCAUGAGGCCAAUGGUGACUUCAAAACAGUUACGGAAUUGAAUGACUGUGAUAGGAAAAACUGAGGCUGGAUCCACAACAUUGUAGUUACUCCAAAAUACUAACCUAAUUGACAGAGUGAAAAAACAGAAUAAAAAUAUUCCAAAACAUGCAUCCAGUUUGCAACAAAGCACUAAAGUAACUCAAAACAUGUGACAAAGCAAUUCACUUUUUGUCCUGAAUACAAGGUGUCAUGUUCGGGGCAAAUCCAAUACUACACAUUACUAAGUACCACUCUCCAUAUUUUCAAGCAUAGUGGUGUCUGCAUUAUGUUAUGGGUAUGCUUGUAAUCGUUAAGGUGUGAAUGUGUAUGCUGUGUACAAAGAAAUACAAAAGAACGUUGUCAAAUCAAUCUUGAACUCCCAUGUUCAGGGCCAUGCCUAUAGAGUACCACAGUAUGAGUCACAAUACCCAUAAAACCUAGCGG
ensembl:lncRNA